GGGAAUGUUUUGAUGGCAUCUCACAGUAUCUGUCAUCUUGAUGGCUUACAGGAUUAGUGAGACUGCAUUCCAUUUGUAAUACUGCUUUGUGACCUUGUUGCUAUUGGCAUCAAUGGGCUCUGGUUUCUUUUCUUCUCAGAACAGAAUCCUCCUUAUAUCUAAGGAUGGAGCUAUAUUAGUAUGAAUAACAAAGAAUGAUACUUGAGAUGAAAUGAUGUUUAUUGAAAACUGAAGAAGAGCAGAUGAAAAAAAGCAUAAAAAAGCGGAAGAUAAUUGCAACAACUGAUAAUACCUAAUUUACCACAGAUUAAAUUGCUACUCUGUGCCAUGUACUUUUCUCUAGAAAUGUGAACACAAUUUUUAGGUAUGUUACUUUGCUCUAUGUUUCUGUAUACAUAAAUGGUAAAGAAUUAAUAGAGCCUAGACUUCCCCAAACAAGGUGACUAGACAGUGUGAUCCUGGUGAGUGAACAGCUGUUGUUCUUCUAGCUGCUUGUUAUGCAAGGAGCUAGUUUGAUGUCCAAGGUGCAUACCUAAAUACUGUUUGUAUUUGUUUUGUGUCUGGCCCCACUGGGACCAGCUAUAGGAUGAACAAAAUGUUGUCCUAGCACAGUCAUAAUUUUCAAUCAUUUUGACAGUCUUCUUCUAUGUUACCUUCGUAGCCUGUAAUGCUGGAAAAAGUAAGCUUAUAACAGGAAACAGAUGACCAAACUGAACUGAGCUCCUCUGUCAAAUAUUUCAGGCCUGAAAUGUGUUUUUCUGGACAUGAAACCUGCAGAGCAGAACAGGAGUGAGCCUUCCUGAACCUUGUCGGAGCAGAGCCACCAGCACCCACUUGUUUCCAGUAGUGCUACUGAUUAGUGAUGAUGAAGAGGAAC